UUAGGAAUAUUGGACAAUGGGCGCAAGCCUGAUCCAGCCAUGCCGCGUGAGUGAAGAAGGCCUUAGGGUUGUAAAGCCCUUUCAGUAGAGAAGAAAAGCUCAGGGUUAAUACCCCUUGAGUCUUGACGUUACCUACAGAAGAAGCACCGGCUAACUCCGUGCCAGCAGCCGCGGUAAUACGGAGGGUGCAAGCGUUGAUCGGAAUUACUGGGCGUAAAGCGCGCGUAGGCGGCUUAGUAAGUCGGAUGUGAAAGCCCCGGGCUUAACCUGGGAAUUGCAUUCGAUACUGCUGAGCUAGAGUAUGGUAGAGGGAAGUGGAAUUUCCGGUGUAGCGGUGAAAUGCGUAGAUAUCGGAAGGAACACCAGUGGCGAAGGCGACUUCCUGGGCCAAUACUGACGCUGAGGUGCGAAAGCGUGGGGAGCAAACAGGAUUAGAUACCCGCGUAGUCC
rnacentral:rRNA from 1 species